GGAAUUUUGGACACUGGGCGCAAGCCUGAUCCAGCAAUGCCGCGUGCAGGAAGAAGGCCUUCGGGUUGUAAACUGCUUUUGUACGGAACGGAACGGUCCUGGUUAAUACCUGGGGCUAAUGACGGUACCGUAAGAAUAAGCACCGGCUAACUACGGUCCAGUCGCCGCGGUAAUACGUAGGGUGCAAGCGUUAAUCGGCAUUAUUGGGCGUAAAGCGUGCGCAGGCGGUUUUGUAAGACAGGCGUGAAAUCCCCGGGCUUAACCUGGGAAUGGCGCUUGUGACUGCAAAGCUGGAGUGCGGCAGAGGGGGAUGGAAUUCCGCGUGUAGCAGUGAAAUGCGUAGAUAUGCGGAGGAACACCGAUGGCGAAGGCAAUCCCCUGGGCCUGCACUGACGCUCAUGCACGAAAGCGUGGGGAGCAAAC
rnacentral:rRNA from 1 species